rnacentral:rRNA from 1 species
GACGGAGGGGGCUAGUGUUGUUCGGAAUUACUGGGCGUAAAGCGCACGUAGGCGGCCUUUCAAGUCGGACGUGAAAGCCCCGGGCUUAACCCGGGAAUUGCGUUUGAUACUGUUGGGCUUGAGACCGGGAGAGGAUAGCGGAAUUCCCAGUGUAGAGGUGAAAUUCGUAGAUAUUGGGAAGAACACCAGUGGCGAAGGCGGCUAUCUGGACCGGCACUGACGCUGAGGUGCGAAAGCGUGGGGAGCAAACAGG